rnacentral:rRNA from 1 species
ACUCCUACGGGAGGCAGCAGUGGGGAAUAUUGCACAAUGGGGGAAACCCUGAUGCAGCCAUGCCGCGUGUGUGAAGAAGGCCUUCGGGUUGUAAAGCACUUUCAGUAGGGAGGAAGGUAGUGUAGUUAACACCUGCAUUAUUUGACGUUACCUACAGAAGAAGCACCGGCUAACUCCGUGCCAGCAGCCGCGGUAAUACGGAGGGUGCGAGCGUUAAUCGGAAUUACUGGGCGUAAAGCGCAUGCAGGCGGCCUGUUAAGUCAGAUGUGAAAGCCCGGGGCUUAACCUCGGAAUUGCAUUUGAAACUGGCAGGCUAGAGUCUUGUAGAGGGGGGUAGAAUUUCAGGUGUAGCGGUGAAAUGCGUAGAGAUCUGAAGGAAUACCAGUGGCGAAGGCGGCCCCCUGGACAAAGACUGACGCUCAGAUGCGAAAGCGUGGGGAGCAAACAGGAUUA